UACGUAGGGGGCUAGCGUUAUCCGGAAUUACUGGGCGUAAAGGGUGUGUAGGCGGUGUGAUUAGUCCCUCGUUAAAGCUCUCGGCUUAACCGAGAAAGUGCGGGGGAAACGGUCAUACUUGAGGGUGCGAAAGGUUUGCGGAACUCAUGGUGUAGGAGUGAAAUCCGUUGAUAUCAUGGGGAACACCAAAGGCGAAGGCAGCAAACUGGCGCAUUACUGACGCUGAAACACGAAAGCGUGGGGAUCAAAC
rnacentral:rRNA from 1 species